rnacentral:rRNA from 2 species
UACGUAGGGAGCGAGCGUUGUCCGGAAUUACUGGGUGUAAAGGGAGCGUAGGCGGGAUCUUAAGUCAGGUGUGAAAACUAUGGGCUCAACCCAUAGACUGCACUUGAAACUGAGGUUCUUGAGUGAAGUAGAGGCAGGCGGAAUUCCUAGUGUAGCGGUGAAAUGCGUAGAUAUUAGGAGGAACAUCAGUGGCGAAGGCGGCCUGCUGGGCUUUUACUGACGCUGAGGCUCGAAAGCGUGGGGAGCAAACAGG